rnacentral:rRNA from 1 species
UGGCUCAGGAUGAACGCUAGCGACAGGCUUAACACAUGCAAGUCGAGGGGCAGCAUAAAAGUAGCAAUACUUGGUGGCGACCGGCGCACGGGUGAGUAACGCGUAUGCAACCUACCUAUCAGAGGGGAAUAACCCGGCGAAAGUCGGACUAAUACCGCAUAAAACAGGGGCACCGCAUGGUGAUACUUGUUAAAGAAAUUCGCUGAUAGAUGGGCAUGCGUUCCAUUAGGUAGUUGGUGAGGUAACGGCUCACCAAGCCGACGAUGGAUAGGGGAACUGAGAGGUUGGUCCCCCACACUGGUACUGAGACACGGACCAGACUCCUACGGGAGGCAGCAGUGAGGAAUAUUGGUCAAUGGGCGGGAGCCUGAACCAGCCAAGUCGCCGUGAAGGAAGAAGGAUCUAUGGUUCGUAAACUUCUUUUGCAGGGGAAUAAAGUGCAGGACGUGUCCUGUUUUGUAUGUACCCUGAGAAUAAGGAUCGGCUAACUCCGUGCCAGCCGCGGC